UUAAAUUUCCCCCCUCGCUCUCGCUCUCUCUCUCUCUCUCGCUAUCCGCUGCCGCCUCCCCGCGCCGCCGCCGCCUGCGUUCAGGCCCACGCCGACGUUGUGCUUGCGCACCGGAUCCACGCCGGCGCCGCCUUCUCCGACCUCAGUAUUGGGUGGAUCUGCCCCGACUCCUCCGCAUCCUCCUCCCUGACCUCGGGCCGGCGCUGCUCCUCCCCGACCUUGACACCGGUGCUGCGCCUCCCCGAGCUCGGGCUAGCGCACUCCUCCCCGAGCUCAUGUCGCGCUGCAGCUUUUCGACCCCGAGCCUUGGCGUCGACCGCACUGGGCGGGGGACUGCAGGGCUGGGCGCUGGCCACACUAGUCCCCUCGAUCCGCACCCCUCCCCGGCCUCCAAGCAGGUAGGAUUCAUUAGAUUCUCUGGAUCUGCUUCGUCCUCCACAUGAAUCCGUGAUUUCUUUCUAUUUGUGUGCGAUUCUGCUGCCCGCCCGCCGUCGCUGGAGGAGGACGGCUUCUCACCAUGAUGUCUUCCGACAAGUUACGUUUGCAAUGCCAGAGAGAUCAAAGAUUUCAUGCGUCAGGGUGCUCAACUUUCCUAGGGACGGUAAACUCACAAGAUUGCUUCACGAUUCACUUGGAGGGAGAACAAAGACUUGCAUUAUUGCAACCAUUUCACCCUCCGUGCAUUGCCUUGAAGAAACUUUGAGUACAUUGGACUAUGCACACCGAGCAAAGAGCAUCAAGAACAGGCCUGAGAAAGUUUCAACAUGUUCUUGUUGAAGCCAUGGCCGAGAAUGGACUUUACUAUGUGAAUUUAAAGAUUAGUAUGUCCAGAAUAAAAGAAAAACCUAACUUACUAUGUUUCAACAUGUUUCAUUUGCAGCACAAUGCACAACGCUCUUUCAAGUUUCAACAGAACAGAAGUCGUAGAAUUUAGUGAUCUGAGUUAAUAGUAGAAUUAGGCAAGCAAAAAUAGGAAGCCAAGCUUGCUUUGGCCUUUAUUAGUGGCACAAAUAGUAGAAUUUAGUGAUCUGAGUGUAUGGAUGUAACUGUAUACUCGUGUAUGUAUGCAUGUAUGUAUAAAAUAAAAGAAUAGAAGGUAUUUUGAUUUCUUUU